UACGUAGGGUGCAAGCGUUGUCCGGAAUUAUUGGGCGUAAAGAGCGUGUAGGCGGCCCGAUUAGUCCGCUGUGAAAGUCCAGGGCUCAACCCUGGAAUGCCGGUGGAUACUGUCGGGCUAGAGUCCGGAAGGGGCGAGUGGAAUUCCUGGUGUAGCGGUGAAAUGCGCAGAUAUCAGGAGGAACACCAAUGGCGAAGGCAGCUCGCUGGGACGGUACUGACGCUCAGGCGCGAAAGCGUGGGGAGCAAACAGG
rnacentral:rRNA from 1 species